CAAAAUGUACGUGUGCCUAUAGCUGAGGAGGGAGGACUAACUGCACCUCCAAAUACUCUUUUAGAUGGAAAGAAGGCUGCAAGCCUGGGAAUUGCAAGAAAACUAGAUAUUACCAGCAUCAAAUCAUCCACAGAGCACUCUAACUAAAAGGAGAACAUUAUGGCUGGGAGACAUGGGAAGUGAAUCAAGGGCACAGUGCUGAGGCUCCAUAUCUUUCACCUUCAACCCUCAGAAAGGCUCACAACUUAAUGCCUUUAUAUCCAUUUUGGUAAGUAUAUGUCCAUUUCAGGUAAGUUUUAUAUUUUUUAU
rnacentral:lncRNA from 1 species